UGGGGAAUAUUGCGCAAUGGGCGAAAGCCUGACGCAGCGACGCCGCGUGAGGGAUGAAGGUUUUCGGAUCGUAAACCUCUGUCAGAAGGGAAGAAACCGCACUGUGCUAAUCAGCAGUGCCUUGACGGUACCUUCAAAGGAAGCACCGGCUAACUCCGUGCCAGCAGCCGCGGUAAUACGGAGGGUGCAAGCGUUAAUCGGAAUUACUGGGCGUAAAGCGCACGUAGGCUGCUUUGUAAGUCAGGGGUGAAAUCCCACGGCUCAACCGUGGAACUGCCUUUGAUACUGCUUAGCUUGAAUCCGGGAGAGGGUGGCGGAAUUCCAGGUGUAGGAGUGAAAUCCGUAGAUAUCUGGAGGAACAUCAGUGGCGAAGGCGGCCACCUGGACCGGUAUUGACGCUGAGGUGUGAAAGCGUGGGGAGCAAACAGG
rnacentral:rRNA from 1 species